rnacentral:rRNA from 2 species
UGGGGAAUCUUGCGCAAUGGGCGAAAGCCUGACGCAGCAACGCCGCGUGCGGGAUGAAGGCCUUCGGGUUGUAAACCGCUUUCAGCAGGGACGAAAUUGACGGUACCUGCAGAAGAAGCCCCGGCCAACUACGUGCCAGCAGCCGCGGUAACACGUAGGGGGCGAGCGUUGUCCGGAUUUAUUGGGCGUAAAGAGCUCGUAGGCGGCUCGGUAAGUCGGGUGUGAAACCUCCAGGCUCAACCUGGAGACGCCACCUGAUACUGCUGUGGCUAGAGUCCGGUAGGGGAGUGUGGAACUCCUGGUGUAGCGGUGAAAUGCGCAGAUAUCAGGAAGAACACCAGCGGCGAAGGCGGCACUCUGGGCCGGAACUGACGCUGAAGAGCGAAAGCGUGGGUAGCAAACAGG